rnacentral:misc_RNA from 1 species
AAGUCGUAACAAGGUUUCCGUAGGUGAACCUGCGGAAGGAUCAUUAACGAAUUGUAAAGGGAGUUGAUGCUGGUGGCCUUUUCUGGCUGCAUGUGCUCGCUCUCGACAAUAUCAUCCAUACACCUGUGCACCUCUGAGGGUCCGAGUUAGUUUUCCGUUAAGGAAUGACUGAUUCGGUCCUCUCAAUCACAUACACCUUAAUAAAACAUCGAACGUGAAAGUGCCGCAAGGCCAUAAAUAUGAAAUACAACUUUUAACAACGGAUCUCUUGGCUCUC